rnacentral:lncRNA from 13 species
AGGGGAAUGUCCCCAUCCCCCUUGUGAUGCAAGUUGAUGACAAGGCACCCUGUACAAAGCAGCCAGUAAGGAGAGUCCCAGCCACCCAGGUGAAGAGCUCUGCCCGGACACCCAGAAGAUCAACUCCACCCACCACUCAGGCGAAGAGCUCUGCCCAGACACCAAGGCAAGGGGCUCUGCCUAGACACGCAGGCAAUGGGCUCUGCCUGGAUACCCAGGCGAACAGCUCUACCCAGACACCCAGGCGAGGAGCUCCACCCAGACACCCAGAUGAGGGGUUCUGCCUGGACACCCAGCGUGGAGUUUUCACUCAGCUCAGCACAGGACGUGGGGAGGUGUGGCUGAGCAGGCGGUUUGGGAAAGGAAUCCAGGUGGCUCUCAGCAGAGAGAACAGACACACUUCUGAUCUUUUAAAAUAAAUGACGUCUCAUCUCAGAGUCACGCAGAGCUCCAAAUUUCAAUUAUUUAAAUCACUGCCUCUUCAAUACCCC